AUUGGCAGCAGCAAGCAGGCGGGCAGGCUGAGAUCUUGCAUGGAAAUCAUGAACCAGGUCUUGCUUUUCGUUUUUGAAACGUUUUGGAAGGAGAGUUAUGAAUAGCCCAGAAAUAGGUCUCAUUUUGUGGGUAGGAAGAAUGACCAGAAGCAUGAAAGCUAAAUCUCCUGGCAAGUGCAGGGGACCUCUCUUGGAGUGUGCAGUAAACCCGAGGGGACGACUUCGCCUGCUGUCAACUCCUGAACCAUCACAUCUGGAGUGAAGGAAGGGGCUGGUGAAGCCUUGUAAUAAAUGCAAAGGAUGCGGCUGAGAGCUUUGGUCUGCCUUUAACUCAUUGUGGCAAAGUUGGACAUCCCAAAGAUGGCGUAGAUGAACAUGACGAGGAAAAGCAGGAGGCCGAUGUUGAACAGCGCAGGAAGGGACAUCAUCAGAGCAAAGAGCAGCGUGCGGAUCCCCUUGGCGCCUUUGAUCAGGCGUAGGAUUCGUCCAAUCCUGGCCAAUCAUCUCAAAAGAAAGAACUUUGGCAGAAAAGAAACCAACAUCCAUUUCGGAACAGAACAGAGCGGUAAGCAGUGCUCAUGGAAAGCGAAGAGGCUGCAGUAAAGGAGAAGUGAUGGAGAGGGCA
ensembl:antisense Gm13629 predicted gene 13629